CAGGGUCAGACUCCGUGCAGGUGGAGUAUAGGCUUGGACCUGUGAUGGUGCUCAUACACGUAAGGCUGGACUCUUAUUACGUUUUUGCCUUAUGUUUAACGUAUGCAAAAAGCGUAUAUGUUACAUGGAUGCAUCCGGCGGAUAUCCUACAGCGUCAUCUGUCCCCAUAGAGAUCCAUUGUAAAGAAAACCGUGAUGUGAACCCAGCCUUAGAUGGUAUUCGGCUAAACUCGCCGCUCUCAGUGCGGCUGCUGUCAGCGGAGGGAUGGUAAAAAGCCCUCAUACCCAUUACAUUUUGAGGAGAGGGGCAAAAUUGGGCAUGUUUGAUUUUUAUCAUGCCAUUUUUAGAUAUGCCACCAGCAGAGGUGUCUGACAGCCGCUUCUUUCCCCUCCCCCUUUGCCAAUACCUGGCUGAGCAUGCAUGUGUAUGGAGGAGUCGGAACAGCUGUCAGAUGAAAGAACUAUCAAAGGUGUGUCUUAGGGUAUGUUCACAAUCUGCAGCAUUAUUUUUCCAUCAAAAUUUCUGAUCCCAUUAGAAGUCGUUGGGGCCGUACCAUGGAUCCAUCACAGGUCAGGUGUGAACAGAGCCCAAGGCUGAUUUAUUUUUGUGUGUGAUGUGGGCACAGUGCACUGGCAUACUUUCUCCAACUGUAUAAGGAGUAAAGUAAAAAAGUAUACUUCAUUUUUUUCACAGUAGGACACUAUGGUUGAGGUAUGCGCCUAUACCAAUGGCCUUCAGCGGUUGCAAGACUACAGCUCCCAUCAUGCCCUGAUAGCCGUAGGAGAACUUUGGCCUAUAAGGUGGCAUUACGCCUUUCUUCAGAGGCAUGUAUCUGAAAGUCUCACUGACACGUACGAAAUUAAAGGUCUAGAUGCAAUGUGCAUUAAAUACAUUUGAUCAACUUUACUUUGAGCUGUGACAAUGAAACCAUUAGUAUGACCCCCCAAUGGGGCACUAUGGUGGAGCCCUGCCUUUAUCGCUUCUGUUUUGGAUUGUUGUAGAACAGAGCCCUCUCUCUGUGUUCAAAGUCUAUUGUGUGCCUUACAGCUGAGAUUUAUUUACCUGUAUUUUAAAAAAAUUUUUAUAUAAUAUUGGGAAUAUAUUUUAAAAAAUCUAGCUUAAUAUCUGAUACUACGUUGUGUGAUGAUGGCCAAUGCGUUGCACGCAGGAGAGGCUGGGCCUCAAGUAUUGUCUCCCAGAACAUGGCUUUGUUCAGCCUUUUACUCUUGUUGCUAUGGGUAACAAAGCUGUUUCCUAUGAGACAGUUAGGCCUUAAAGGGGUUUUCUGGGAUUUUCAUCUUGAAGGCCUAUCCUCUAGUCUAGGGUAGGCUAUCAAUAUGAGAUCGGCGAAGGUCUUACUCCCGUCAGCUGUUUCAGGAAGCCACAGCGUUUACCGGAGCUCCGUUAAGCGCCGCGGCCUCCUCUCAGCUUACCAAGCACAGCGCUGUACACUGUAUUGGGGCAGUGCUUGAUAUUGCAGCACAGCCCAUUCACUUGAAUAGGACUGAGCUACACCUAGGCCAUGUGACCAAUGAACUGUGGGAGAUCCAGGUGUUUUGUGGCCAUAAUAUGGAAGUGAAAAUGUGACUGCGUAGCCGCUGUCUGAAUGAGGCCUUAUAUUAUAAGGCCCGAAGUGUUUAUAGGUUGUUUAUUUCCUUUCAUUUGUCCUGUCUCUCUGUUCAGCUCAUUGUACGAAGUAUCACCGGUGUCACUGUGAUAUGGAUUAAGUUACAGUAUAACUUCCUUAAAUGGGUUUUCCAGGAUUACUAAGGUUUUGAACAGACAUGCUCAUGUAGUUGCUUACCUCAUGUACAUCUUCCCUAUGCUUUUAUUUUCAAUUUGGACUCUCCUGACCUGUUUUCACCAUGU